GGAGGACGGAUGUAAUUAAAGCAAGUACAACUGCCAGGAUGUAUCGACGAUAAGACUGUCCAGAGCACACUUCCACCCUACAACUAUAUGCUUCCUCAUCUUUCUAGCGCUACUAUGCUUCACGAAAGCGGUCGCAGAGUCUGCAGCUAGUACCACUUUGAACGACAUAUCGGAGACCCCGUUGCUGGUAAGGCCAAAUACGAUCGUACACAUAUUGUUCGCCCUGAGAGAGUCAAGUCCAAGAAGUCUGCAUACGAGAUGGCCACCACGACGUCGCUUUUGCUUUUGACUUUCCUCUGUGCCGUACAUCUGGCGUCAACAGCGGAUGUCAUGGAUGAUGACGGGGACGCUAGAAAUGCGACCUCGCCGGCCAUGCAGACGACUCUCAAGCGGCUCCAUGGGUCAACCUGCCAGGUGACAGAGAUGAGCUGGAACGUGCAAGGGAUUGGUGAACUAAUUCGUGCAGCGCAAGAGGUGGAAAGACAAGAGAUCUUCAGCGAGCCUUUUGUGUUGAACGGGUACACGGUGCGCAUGUCCUUGGAUGCAUGGAAUCUCGGAGGCUAUGUCUAUCUGGAAUUGUUUUUUAGCCUGUGCAAAGGUCCUGAUGACGAUUUCCUCGCAUGGCCCUUCAGGACUCCUUACACUCUUACCCUCUUACACCCAACGACGAGUAGGAUGGACAUCUCGCAGACAUCCUCUGUAUUUACACCUAGAGUGUUGUACCACUUCCAGAGACCAAAAAAGGGUUGCAACACUAUGCGUGGAUUCCGCAUGAUGAUACCAGUACCGUCAGCUGAAAAGCAAGGCUACAUAGUGGACGAUGCCGUUUCUGUUCACGUUAAGCUCAAUCUGUAAAUCUAGACAAGGGCGAUGAUUUCACGUUUUCUUUCCUUUUGAAUUUUUAUUAUUUUUUAAGAGGAAAAGAGAGGUUGGCCAUGCUCAGCAGGCAUGCUACCCUUGUUUACUCAAUGGUUAGCUGGGCUGCCCCUUCUUUUCCUCCGUACGGCAUGAGAGCUGGCUUUGGGGCAGUUGCUUUCUUUCUUUUCUUUUUCCCGUUUUCUUUCUUUUUUUUUUUUUUCUGCGCCGUUCGAAGUCAGUCCUCGAACUACAAACCGUCGACGUACGAACUCCCUCGUUCUACUAUCUGUAUACCACUUGUAGAUGAAUCAAUAAAUUAAUAAAUAACUACUGUACUCAACACGCUCUUGAACACGGGGGCAAGUUGGGUUUUUCGCGAUUCGCAUUUUCUCAGCAUUACUUAUUUCUCCUCUAUGACGCCAUGGUGGGCACAGUCGUUGUUGACAAGGAGAAGACCAGUGACGGGGGGAAAAUUACCGGGCAACAAUUUCUCAAUUCCUCUCUCUCUCAGAAAUGGUCGCCUGUUGAUUUUUCUCCUGCCUCAUAUUUUUCUCUUUAUUCCAACUCCAACUCCCUGCCUGGGGUCUCCCCCUUUUCCUUAUGAGCCAGCUGGUCUGCGCCAUUUCACCGUUAUCGCUAGACCACCUUAUCCAUAUGUGCUCCCCAGGCAGCACAAUGUACUGAAAGUCGAGUGCAAUAGGGGUGGACGGGUAGAUGGAAGGCCAUCAACACACUCGUGAAACUAAAGAACAUUGAUAAGACACAUACCGUCCACCCCUAUUGCACUCGACUUUCAGUACAUUGUGCUGCUUGGGUCAGAACUGCAUCUAGGCUACAAGACGUCACAUUGAAGAUAUGACAGGCAGGAUCGAGUUGCUGAACUUACAAAACAAGUUCGAUGUAUAACGCACACCGCACAAUAAACCAAGGCGGCAAAAUUCUUGUCAUUCCGCCCACAUUCCAUUCUACAGAUUGUGAGGACAAAGACGUUUCCUCAUGGUGUGUGCAUAAGCGCAAUUGUUAUUCAAUCAAGUACAUGCACCACGAUGCAGAUAAUAUUGUUGAGAGCGCAUUUCCACUUGGCAGUUGUGGCUACCAAUUGUCUUAGUGUGACAGUUGCUUCACGAAAGGUGUCGUCAAGAGUGCAACCAAUCACACUUUGAAUGAUAUCUCGGUCUGAUAAUUAACUGAUAAGUCUUCAUUCGAUGGGAUAUAAAUUACUCGCCCUGCGAUUCAGAAGGUCUGCAAACACGCUGGUCAUCAUGGCACCGUCACUUUGGCCUUUGACUUUCCUGUUGGCCGCAUAUCUGGUAUCAGCUGUAUAUUGCAUGAGCGGGGAAGACACCAGAAAUGCUUCUUCUCCGGCCGUACCUACAGUCUUCAAGAGACUCAAGAGGUCAACCUCUACGAUGCAAUGGCACGUGGAACGGAUUCGUGAAAUAAUUGCUGAUGGCUACGUCGCAGGGAAAGUCGACCACACGAGCGACUACUACGAACUAAACGGGUAUACAGUGCGACUGACCGUUGUAGUGUCUCGCAGAGAGGACGGAGAACUCUGGCUGGGAUUGUUCUUUGGCCUAUGCAAGGGUCGCAGAGACCAGCGCCUCGCGUGGCCCUUCCGGACGCCCUACACCCUCACUCUCUUCCAUCCGACGACGCACACGUUGGACAUUUCGAAGACGAUCUCGACAUUUUCGUCUGACACGCUACAGUACUUCACUAGACCGACGUAUGGUUGCAACCGCAAAUUAUGGGGAUUUGGCAGGGCCAUAUCAGUAACGGAAGCCGAAAAACAAGGAUACAUUGUGGACAAUGCCAUCUCUGUUGGUGUUACGCUCAGCCAAUAAAUUACGAAUCAAACGAUGA